rnacentral:rRNA from 1 species
GACACGGUCCAGACUCCUACGGGAGGCAGCAGUGGGGAAUAUUGCACAAUGGAGGAAACUCUGAUGCAGCGACGCCGCGUGAGUGAAGAAGGCUUUCGAGUCGUAAAACUCUGUCCUUGGGGACGAUAAUGACGGUACCCAAGGAGGAAGCCCCGGCUAACUACGUGCCAGCAGCCGCGGUAAUACGUAGGGGGCGAGCGUUGUCCGGAAUUAUUGGGCGUAAAGGGUUCGCAGGCGGCCAAAUAAGUCAGAUGUGAAAUCCCACGGCUUAACCGUGGUAAGCAUUUGAAACUGUAUGGCUUGAGUUAAGGAGAGGAAAGUGGAAUUCCUAGUGUAGCGGUGAAAUGCGUAGAUAUUAGGAAGAAUACCAGUGGCGAAGGCGACUUUCUGGACUUAUACUGACGCUGAGGAACGAAAGCGUGGGGAGCAAACAGGAUUAGAUACCCUGGUAGUCCACGCCGUAAACGAUGAGUGCUAGGUGUCGGGUGUCAAAGC